CCUCUCCCUGUGCCGGUGAGAGCGGUUAACGCCCAAUACCGCCGAAGAGGACCUCCUCAUGGAGUUGAUGGUUCCUAAUUAUCUGACAGCAAUUUAAAAAGGGCAUUUACGUUCCGGAGAGCGGGGCUUCUCCCCGCUCCCGAAGGCACCUCCCGGCAGCUCAUUCUGCUGUUUAUUGAUGACUCUGGGGGAUUGAGGCUCUUCCGGCUUCUCCUUGACCCGCCGCCGUUGGAAAACACCCUCGCCCGGCGCUGCGGUCCUUAUCGGCCCCAGAUCGGAGAGAUAUCAGCGAAGAGGCUGGCGGUAUUGUAUAACGCUCAUUAGCGCCGUUUCAGGCUUUGCUUUGGCGCCAUUCCUUCUUCCCCUCUCCCUCCUUAUUCUAUUGCCUCCUAACUAGACAAAAAGGGGAAAAACCAUUAAAAGAGGCUUCGCUCUCCCUCUGAAACAUCAACUGGGAGCGAAAAGACUUACGGGCCGCCAUUUUGUUCCUGCCUCGUGGCCGUUAGAGGCCUGCUUUUAAGAUGGCUUCCCGGCCUACUAAAGCAACCAAACGCCAGGCCUCUGAGGACCCUACUCCUGGUCCCUCUUCAGCUGAGCCAGCUAAAAAGACUAAGAAACCUCAUUCUUCUAAAGAGGAUAAAAAGGCUGCAGCCAAAGCCAAGGAAGAGCUUCGUUUGCAUCAAGCAAUUGAACGCUCAAUCCAGAAGGCCAUUAGAGAGGCCUCACUUAGAGAGACCACAGCUCAGCAUGGGCCCAUGCCUCCUCAGCCUUUGGCCCCCCAGAUUUCUACAGCCACCCCACCUGACCCUUCAGCUGUCCAGGCCCCGGCCUUGCCCCAUUUGUCCCCAGACAGGGGGACAUUACCAUCACCAUUGCAAGGGGAUAUUUGCGAGGCCCUUUUCGGUCCUCAAUCCGACCCUCCCUCACAAGACCAAGCCCCCCCAUCGUCCACUCCCUCUGGCAUUCCCCCUGUAAUAGCCCCUGCGGGGGACCCUGGCCCUUCAGGCCCUUCUAUUACUCCAGAGCUACUGUCCUUCAUUCAAGUGGCUAUCCAUAAAGGGGUGCAAGCCGAGUUACAAUGUAAUACAUCCUCCUGGGUGGCAGGAUCGGCCUGCUCAGCCAUUGACUUAGAGGGCUCCUUAUUAGAGGAAGGCCACGCCCCUGCUGAUAUUGCUGCCGCUUCAAUAGCACCUUCAGAACAUCCAUCCUACCCCGAGGAUGACGCUCGGGAAAGGGAGCUUUCCGAUGAUGAAGACCUUGGCCCUGACCAGCCUUCAUUCGUAGGUCUCUUUAAGCCCCAGCUUUUUAGGUCUUUGCUACAUAAGGCUAAACUAACCACCCAUCUGGGGAACCCUUCGGUUAAUCCCUCGUCAACCGGGGAUGCAGGAGCGCCUCUGCCCCUCUUUGAGGUCCCGGAGGUGGAAACGGAGGAAAUUCCGGGCCCAAAACUUUUUAGGGACGUCCUUAGGAAGCAAUGGUCCUCUCCUGCUUCGGGGCCUAACCCUAACCAAUUAGAUAGACGGUUUUACAAUUUGGCCCAGAGUUGGCAUCACUCCUUCAAAUUCUGGUGAUUGAUCCCCCAGUAGCCGCUCUGGCAGCCCCGUCUAAUGUAAAUGGGCCACCUGAAGAUAACCUCCGUCCGGAGGAUAAACGAUUGGAGCAAUCCUUGGUAAGAUCACAUAUGGCCUCAGCCUGGGCAGCUAAAUCUGCCCUGGCUUCAUCCUUUUUCAAUAGGGCAUCUAUCCUUUGGAUCAGGCAACUGCAGGAUAGGCUCCCGGUAUCGGAUACCAGGUCCCACCAGGACCUUAAUAAGAUCUUAGCUGCCCUAGAGUUCUCCGCGGACGCGACGCUCAACGCCGCUCGCUUUGCGGCGAAGUCCAUAGGAUCCUCAGUCACCUCCCGCCGCCUGCUCUGGCUCCGCAAUUGGCAGGCGGACGCCAAAUCGAAGUGGCGCCUUGCCUCUUCUGCCUUCGAGGGCCCCUCCCUCUUCGGGGCACCCCUGGAACCUUUGCUGAUAGAAACAAGGGACAAGAAACGUAUCCUUCCCAGUGUCUCCAGACGGUCAGAUCUUCGACCUCCCGCUCCCCACUUUCGCUCCUUUCGUCCCUUCGAAUACCCUCACUCGGGGUAGGCCUCCCAGAGCCUUUCCCUCUCGUUUCCGGCCCCCAGAUCGCCAAGGGUACCCGCUCCAGAGGGGAUUCCCCAGACGUUUUUCCCGUGGGGGCCGCGGGCGGCCCUUCCGCAGAUUGCGAUAACUGCACGUCUAAUCCUCCCAUUGGGGGCUGCCUGGCUCUCUUCGCCAGCCAGUGGGAGGCUUCAUCUUCGGACACUUGGGUUCGGGAGACGGUUAGGUGGGGCCUCUCCCUAGAAUUUCUCUCCACUCCUCCCGACAGGUUUCUCCGAUGCCCUACUUCCUGGGAUCGGCAGAAACGGCUCCUGCUGGACUCGGCUAUCAAACAUCUCCUUGACAUUCAGGCCAUCGAGCCGGUUCCUCAGGAGCAGCACGGACAGGGUUUUUACUCCCGCCUGUUCGUCGUUCAGAAAUCCUCGGGGGGCUGGAGGGCUAUUAGACCUCAAGUCUUUGAACUGCUGGGUCGCCUACCGGCGGUUCAAGAUGCAGUCACUUUCCUCCAUUUUGGAAAGUAUAAGGGUCGGGGACUUCCUCACGUCAGUUGACCUGACUGAGGCCUAUCUUCAUGUCCCCAUUCAUCCGGCUUAUACCAAAUUUCUUUGGUUUUGUUAUGCGGGCCGCCACUACCAGUAUCGUGCCCUUCCAUUCGGCCUAUCCUCGGCUCCCCGAGUUUUCACUAAAUUGAUGGCUGCUCUUGCGGCUCACCUUCGAGCUCUACCAAUUCGGAUCCAAUGUUACCUCGACGAUCUCCUCAUCCUCUCGAGCUCGGAGGCCCGGGCACAUCAGGACCUGGACUCCACCCUCCAGAUCCUGACGGCUCAUGGCUUCUCCAUCAACUGGGCCAAGAGCCAUCUGAUACCUACGACCCGCAUCCAACACCUGGGGACUAUCAUUGAUACGGUCGAGAGCAGGAUCUUUCUUUCCGAGGAGCGACUUACCAGCUUGCGGUCGCUGGCCCGGUCUGUCGCUGAGGGGUCCCCUGUCUCCCUGGCGACCCUUUCUCACCUCCUUGGAAAGAUGGUCUCAUGCAUUGGCAUCGUGCCUUGGCCCCGUCUCCACUGCAGGGCUCUGCAGUGGUUUCUUCUCCCGUAUCAGAAGUCCCAUCUUUCGGCCUCCAAACAACUUGUUCACCUUAACCCUUCCGUCCUUCAGUCCCUCCACUGGUGGUCUUCCGGGGCCCUAUCCAAAGGGAGGGAAUUCAGGGAACCCAACCCUGUCAUCCUAACAACAGAUGCCAGCCUUCUCGGCUGGGGGGCCCACAUUCAAUCUCAUAUGGCCCAGGGCCUAUGGACCUUCGAAGACAAGGCUUACAACAUAAAUUGGCUGGAGCUCUGAGCCAUCCACCUCGCCCUCCGGGUUUUCAAGGGCACGGUCAGAGACCGACAUGUGAUUGUCCGGACGGACAACGUGGCCGCCAAGGCCAACGUCAAUCGCCUGGGGGGGACUCGGUCCCGCCUUCUCAUGAUGGAGGCGGAACGCUUGGGAGCUUGGGCGGAGGCCAACCUGCGAUCUCUGCGAGCCUCCCACAUCUCCGGAGCGACCAACACCCAGGCCGACUGGCUGAGCCGCUCCAGGGUGGACCACGGCGAAUGGAGGCUCCACCCGGAUCUCUUUCACCGAAUCACGCUCCACUUCGGGACUCCAGUGGUGGACCUGUUUGCAACGAGGGACAAUCGUCAAACUCCCCACUUCUUCUCCAGGUUUCCGGACCCGAUGGCGGACGCCACGGACGCUCUCCUGAGCGAGUGGCCCAGGGGUCUUCUAUAUGCCUUUCCCCCCCUUCCCCUCCUGUCCAGGGUAAUCCGGAAACUUCUGGAGGAACGUGCGGAGCUGAUCCUCGUCGCGCCCCACUGGCCCCGUCGGCCUUGGUUCGCCGAUCUUCAGGCACUAUCGAUUCGUCCUCCUUGGCGCCUUCCUCCCGCCGACGUUAUCCUGCAACAGGGUUUGCUCCGUCAUCCGGAUGCCGCUUGGCUGCAGCUAACCGCCUGGCGGUUGAGCGCCAACUCCUGACGGAGCGUCAUCUGCCUGACAGCGUGGUCGACACCAUCUCGGCGGCCCGUCGCCCGGCCACGGUACGAAUUUACCAGGCCACAUGGAGCUCCUUCGCGGGAUGGUGCACACUACAGGGGAUUGACCCGAAACGGGCCUCUACAGAACAGGUACUCGUUUUCUUACAGAAGGGGUUGGACACGGGUCUUGCUCCAAAUACUUUACGCAGGCAAGUAGCCGCCUUAUCUUCUAUUCUCUGCUUGGGGUCUAGGAACUCUCUAGCCCAACAUCCCCUUAUUCGACUGUUCCUCAAAGGGGCAUCAAAUAGUCGCCCUCCGCCCAUACACCGCUACCCCACCUGGGACCUUCCUAAAGUUCUAGACGCCCUUACUCGGAGCCCCUUCGAACCUAUCCACUCAGUAGGAUUGAGGUUUCUCUCCUACAAGGUGUCCUUCUUGAUCGCAAUCACAUCCACUAGGCGGAUUUCGGAACUGGCAGCUCUAUCCACGAGGGCUGACCUCUGCAUCUUCCACCCUGACAGGGUGGUCCUCUGUUUGGACCCCACCUUCCUUCCCAAAGUUAAUUCCACCUUUCAUCAAACUCAAGAACUGGUUCUCCCUGAUUUUUGUCCCCGCCCGUCCCACCCUAGGGAACGUGUUUGGCAUUCCCUGGAUGUCCGCCGCGCUCUACGCAUUUAUCUCUGGCGGACUUCCUCCUUCCGCAGGACGGAAGCGCUUUUCGUCUCCUUUCAGCCCGCAUCAAUGGGCCUCAAGGUUUCCUCUCACACGGUGGGGCGUUGGCUUCGCGCCACUAUCGCCUCAGCCUACGAGGCUUUGGAUAUUCCUGUCCCGGGGCGCAUCACCGCCCAUUCCACACGUAGCGCUGCCACCUCUGCAGCCUGGGCUACCCAGGCUUCCCUUCUGGAUAUAUGCCGGGCAGCUACCUGGGCGUCUCCCACGCCCUUCAUUCGUCACUAUAAAAUUGAUUCCUUUGCUUCGGCGGAGGUGGCUUUCGGCCGCCGGGUUCUCCAACAGGUCUGCGCAGACCAAGCUUCCACGUCCCAGGCGGGUCCCUCCCAGUAGUUCAUGGGCUUUGGCAUGUCCCUUUCCUGACCGCAGUCUCCCUCGUGUCCCUAGAACGGGCGUUGUCUUACCUGAACGCCCCUUCUGGGGACUGGGGAGACUGCAGUCAGCCCCACCCUUCCGCCGGUCCGUCUCGGCCAGGGCACUUCUGUUUUUCUUUAUUUCAGGUUGGCUGGUGCGUCGUCAGGAAUCACAUCACAUCCCUUAUCCGAAAGCUGGAGGGAGAAGCAGGAGGAGGAACUUAGCAAUUCCUGACUCGAUCUACGCUGGAUUGGGAGCAGUAACCCUUUCCUGACCGCAGUCUCCCCAGUCCCCAGAAGGGGCGUUCAGAAUAAUUCUUCUUAACCAAGUCAAUUAAAGAACGUCCUGGAAAGAGCUUGACAAGGAAAUAAAAUAUGUC